UACGGGGGGGGCAAGCGUUGUUCGGAAUUACUGGGCGUAAAGGGCUCGUAGGCGGCCAACUAAGUCAGACGUGAAAUCCCUCAGCUUAACUGGGGAACUGCGUGUGAUACUGGAUGGCUUGGAUUUGGGAGAGGGAUGCGGAAUUCCAGGUGUAGCGGUGAAAUGCGUAGAUAUCGGGAGGAACACCAGUGGCGAAGGCGACUACCUGGCCUGUUUCUUGACGCUGAGGCGCGAAAGCUAGGGGAGCAAACGGG
rnacentral:rRNA from 1 species